rnacentral:rRNA from 1 species
GAUGAACGCUGGCGGCAGGCUUAAUACAUGCAAGUCGAACGGUAAGGCCGGAGGUAGCAAUACCGAGGGUACACGAGUGGCGCACGGGUGCGUAACGCGUAUGUAAUCUGCCCCUGACCGGAACAAAACAGCUGGAAACGGCUGCUAAUAUUCCAUGGCCAUCUUCCCGGGCAUCCGGGGUGAUGUAAAGAUUCAUUGGUCGGGGAUGAGCAUGCGUAUUAUUAGGUAGUUGGUGGGGUAAAGGCCCACCAAGCCGACGAUGAUUAGGGGUCCUGAGAGGGUUAACCCCCACACUGGAACUGAGACACGGUCCAGACUCC